UUGGCAUGGAAGAUAAUUAAUUGUACCAUGAAUUACUGAGGACAGGAUAUUUGUCCUCUUCAUUAUCAGAAAUGCCCUUCAGAAGAGGUUCUUCCUUAGAUUUUGAAGAUCAGAUCUGAUUCAAUAAGGUAGGGUAAGAGGCAUAUAGAGAAAUCAAAUAAUCUAUCCUGAGAGCAUGCAAGCACUCUAGUAAUAAAAUCCCAGUGAACCCUGGCUAUAACUCUUUUGAUGUCCUCAUCAGUGGCCACAGUCCUCCAAGGAUUGAUGGAUCAGGAAAUCCAUGUGCCAUAAGAGGAUAUUUUAUACCCAAAUUUAUUCUAUCAUUUUUGUGUGCUGAAGAUGAUGGAUGAAAUUACUUACAGCAUUUCUAAGUGAUCUGUUGUUUUUAUUAGACCCUGAUAGUCC
rnacentral:lncRNA from 1 species